UACAGAGGGGGCGAGCGUUGUUCGGAAUUACUGGGCGUAAAGGGCGCGUAGGCGGCCCGGUAAGUCAAAGGUGAAAUCCCUCGGCUCAACUGAGGAACUGCCUUUGAAACUGUCGGGCUUGAGGCCGGGAGGGGGUAGCGGAAUUCCCAGUGUAGCGGUGAAAUGCGUAGAUAUUGGGAGGAACACCGGUGGCGAAGGCGGCUACCUGGACCGGUUCUGACGCUGAUGCGCGAAAGCGUGGGUAGCAAACAGG
rnacentral:rRNA from 1 species